CGAAAUGAAAAUUGGUAUAAAAUAUAAUAAAGAUGCUGAGACUAAUGAGAAAAAUAGUGAAAUAAAAAAAAAAACUCUAUAUAAAUGCAGUCUCUGUUUCAAAAAAAUCUAAUAAUUAUUCCAUCAUCAACCUAUAUUAUAAGCUUGUCCAUAAUCACUUAAGUUCAUUAACUAACAGAGCAAUGACAAGUCACCAAUCAUUUUGCACGAUGACUCAAAACAUAGAACAUAC
rnacentral:lncRNA from 1 species